GGCUGAUUCCCCCGGAAUGGAGCAGCGAGCCAGUAACGGCAGUGAAAACCGUUCACUUCUGAACACCACAAUAUUGCAUUGACACCCGGAUUUGCGACACAUUUAAACCUACCAGUUUUUACGUUGGAUUCCCGAGGAAAACGUUCUGGAUUUGUGACAUGAAGCUAGCAGUGAAGCUAGCAGCAGACUGACCACAACAAGCUAAAUCAGCUGAUGAAAUCAGUGUGGUUUGUGGUUGUGAGGCCAGUUGGACGUACU
ensembl:lncRNA